CGGUUCUUCAGGUGAGGAUCCCUAGUCAGGUGAUCCUAACUUGUGACACAUUGUACCUUUCCCCGCAUUGGGUUUCUGCAGGCAAGAUGGUCACCAGCAGCUCUGCUGGAAUCACACAUGACAGUAUGACCAGCUCUCUCACCCUUCAGCAUCCACUCAAACCACAGACUGAUUCCCAAAUACGAACUGAGCAUACACCAGCAGUGUUUCCGUCACUCCCUAGAGGACAUUGCUUCAUUACAUCGGAUAAUGAUUUAUCUAAAGUAGAUUAUUG
rnacentral:lncRNA from 1 species